rnacentral:lncRNA from 1 species
GAAAGGCUAUUAUUUGACAGAAUUGAUUGUCAAUGUUUGAUCAUUGCACCAAGAGUACCAAUUACAGUUAAUUUCUCUGUCCAAAGACUAGGAAUUAAUGUCGUACUAGGUAUCUUGAGAUGGAUCCCAAAACUGGAUUAUUUGUGCGUGUCUUAAUUUUCUUAUUUGACAUGCUUGCUUAUUUUGUUCUCUAUACAGUUUUUGUUGUUAAUGCUGCGAACGUCUCUGCUCAAGUCAGC